CAGAAGACACUGCCCCGGGUCAGUCUGCACAUAGCUGACCUUGUGCAUCCAGAGAGCUUGUUCUUUCUUGAUUUGAAAUGAAAUCUCCUUAGGAGCCCAAGAGAGACACUCUGCCUGUCUGGGAGAGGUGGUAAUCAUUCCUACUAGGCCAAUGAAGACUGCCUGCAGACUUUGCUUUAUGUAAUUUGGCCUCCUUAAACUAGCUGAAGAAGCACAUCCUUAACAACUGGUUUCAGUAGUAUACAAGCGAGGAACAGCAACUUUCUUCUGAGGUCUCACAAUAUCCUGGAGGUAUGAUUGAAUAGCAUCAUGGAGUGAUUCUUCCAACCAGCAAGGACAAUACCCUUUUCCUGACCCAGAGAUGCGGCAACUGAGAGGCAUUUUAAAAACUUGUAUUCCGUUUAUUGUCCAGCAAGGACAGCAAUUUGGACUUUGAAGUAAUUUUGCAAGAGGAAACUCAUGACAAUCUUCUAGAGCAAAUGAUUUACUAGAUUCCAGUUCCAGUGAAAAGGAGCAUUAAGAGCAGGGAGUCAACAGCUGGCUUGCUGAAUGGUGGAUAGACCAGUCUUUACACAAAGAAGAUGAUACGCUAUGUCUACAGUUUUCCACACAAAUUUAAAUUAUUUAUGUAAUCCACGAAAGAUUUUACGCCUUCUUCAAGUUCUUAGAAAGAGGUGUCACACAUAAAGCGGAAGAGCUAUCUGCUGUGGGUAUGGAAAUUCCAUUUUCCUGGAUGCACUAUCUGCUUCUGCACAUUUUUGAGACACUUGUAGGGUCAGAACACUGGUUUGCUUUUAAGCACAGCAUGCCACAGUACUUUUACUGGAAAGCUUGUAGAAGAUGGAGGGGGUGGGAAAAUAGUGUGUCAUGAGUGCACAGAAAUGUCUGUUACUGGUUAGUUCUCUUGACUACUUUAGCAACAUGUCAACCUGGAAUCACAAGCUUUCCCUAGAAAGUUGCUGGUUCUGCUUCUGUAACAAACAGAAUCUUGAAAAUAAUGGCCAUGAGUGUAAAAUUCCAAAUUCUACUUGGAAAGAAUCACCAGUGUGACCUUUGCAGAAUCACCUUUGAAAAAAUUCUGCAUCAAAAGCAGCCUUUACUUUAAACUGGCAAUACUGAAGUUACCACUGGCUACAGUUUCUUAAUGCUUUCUGUAAAUGCUUCAAUGUCUAGCCUGUCCAACUUCAAAUUAACAGUGCAUGACUUAUACUUCUAGGGGGAAAUG